rnacentral:piRNA from 1 species
UGAGGACCAGGUGUGAACCGCCACUAGG